GAUGAACGCUGGCGGUAUGCUUAACACAUGCAAGUCGAACGGACUCUUCGGAGUUAGUGGCGGACGGGUGCGUAACGCGUGAGAAUCUGGCUUUGGGUUCGGGACAACCACUGGAAACGGUGGCUAAUACCGGAUGUGCCGAGAGGUAAAAGAGAAAUUGCCUGAAGAUGAGCUCGCGUCUGAUUAGCUAGUUGGUGAGGUAAAGGCUCACCAAGGCAGCGAUCAGUAGCUGGUCUGAGAGGAUGACCAGCCACACUGGGACUGAGACACGGCCCAGACUCCUACGGGAGGCAGCAGUGGGGAAUUUUCCGCAAUGGGCGAAAGCCUGACGGAGCAAUACCGCGUGAGGGAAGAAGGAUCUUGGGUUGUAAACCUCUUUUCUUAGGGAAGAACAAAAUGACGGUACCUAAGGAAUCAGCAUCGGCUAACUCCGUG
rnacentral:rRNA from 1 species